GGAAACUGCAUGUUAUCCAUAUAAAAUUGAGGUCCAUGGAAACUAGGGGGUCUUUUAUGUUGACAUGUUGUGAAAUGACUCUUAUUAAAACGGAAUUUAGUCAAAUGCCCAAACAGACUGGAUGGAGAAACGGACCCUGCCUGACAUACUUUGUUGAAGUGGUUGGAACUACAGUGUGAAGACAGCAAGCACUGCUCAAAAUCAACCUGAUUUUGAUCCACAACCAUUAUAAUCAGCACAAAGUUUCAGCAAAGCAUAAUGCCACGAUCAAGGGACAUUCCAGAAGAUAGCAAAGAAAAGAUUUUUUCCAUAAGUCUGCUGUUGGAACAGUAAUGAAUCUUCCCAGGAGUGGCCAACGGACACUGAAAUGUUUGUGGGUCGGCUGUAACAUAUCCAACUCAUCCAGGAAGUCACAAGGAAACCCAAAAAUAACGUCCAAAGAGCUGAAGGCUUCUCUUACCUUAGCUAAGUGCCAGAAGUGGAAGUUUUUGUUUGUCCCAUCAUGUCCAGUGUGAAACAAACAGGCCUGCAACAAUUGACAGAAAAACAUGUUUUUUUUGUUGUUGUUUUUUUGUUUUUAAGAGAAAUACUCAUCUAUAUUAUGAUUCACACAAAAUGUAAAAAAAAAAAAAAAAAAGCCUGUGAAAUGAUUGUCAUGUAGUUUAUAUGAAAUUCAUAAAUAUAUAUAUAUAUAUAUAAAAAAAGCAUGCAAGACAUUAGAACACACUGGAGGGAGUAUAAAAUAAAAUAGGGGGGAAAAUCAUAAAUUAUUGCACACAAUAAGGUACACCAGUGGUUGGGGCCACCAGAGGCUUCAAGAUGAUUUAAAAUAUGACAAAACAAGCAUUAAAUUAUGCUAAAACGACUAAAAGUCAAGAUAUUUCUUAUUUGCUUUACUUUUUUUUGUUGUUUUUAUAAUGAAUACACAUUUUUCUAGUUAUUUAUGCCAUUUGUUUGUUUAUUUAGUUAUUUAUUGUUUUGUUCUAAAAUAUUUUAUCGGGAAGAAAUUUAGUUAAUAUAUAUAUAUAUA